CUUUUGACAAGUAUUUUGCGAUCACAUAAUAUUUCUAUUAUAUUUUUUUAUUGAAAAGUUUUCUGCCCCAUUUUAAUGUAAAUACAUAAUUAGUAAGAAUAAAAUUAUUAAAUAUCUCAUAUUAAAGUUAUAAGUGAGAAGACACGUAUAGUAUGAAGUGUCUUAAGUAAUUUUGUUAAGAAUUUAAGAACCAGAAGAAGAAAAAAGAUGGAUGAAAACUCAA
rnacentral:misc_RNA from 1 species